rnacentral:rRNA from 1 species
UACGUAGGUGACAAGCGUUGUCCGGAUUUACUGGGCGUAAAGAGCGCGCAGGCGGUCGUUCAAGUCGAGUGUGAAAGCCCCCGGCUCAACUGGGGAGGGUCAUUCGAUACUGAUCGACUCGAAGGCAGGAGAGGGAAGUGGAAUUCCCGGUGUAGUGGUGAAAUGCGUAGAUAUCGGGAGGAACACCAGUGGCGAAGGCAGGUCUCUGGGCAUUAACUGACGCUGAGGAGCGAAAGCAUGGGGAGCGAACAGG